AAUAGGUCCAUUCUACCAACAAGAUUGACUAAUUGGUCACAAACCUAUGUUACUGAUAUAUAGAGAGCCUGGGGAAAAUAACGGUGCAAAGGUGCAAGACCAAUGCCAGUGAACCUGGAUAGUUGGUAAAUCAUGUUAAUUAAUUCAGGUGGGGUUUAGGAGAGAGCCAGCUUUCAGAAGAGAACUGAAGAAGAUGGAAAAUGCCUGCUGAGAGUCGUGCCAUUUGUUAGGGACAGCCAGAAGAUGUUGACUCUACUGCCUUCCCCACAGGAGUCUUCUGUGCGGAGAUGCUCACCACAGCUGCGUCCGAUUUCCUGAAUGGUGUGCAAGGACUAGGCACCACUAUGUAUAAGGCUGGCGCCCACAUCCCAGUUUCCCGAGGCAAGCCCCAGGAGGACACAUGAAAUUGGAAACC